GAUGAACGCUAGCUACAGGCUUAACACAUGCAAGUCGAGGGGUAGCAGGGUAGCAAUACCGCUGACGACCGGCGCACGGGUGAGUAACACGUAUCCAACCUUCCCAUAACUCGGGGAUAGCCUUUCGAAAGAAAGAUUAAUACCGGAUGGUACUUUUUCAAGGCAUCUUGAGAAAGUUAAAGAUUUAUUGGUUAUGGAUGGGGAUGCGUUCCAUUAGAUAGCUGGUGAGGUAACGGCUCACCAAGUCUUCGAUGGAUAGGGGUUCUGAGAGGAAGGUCCCCCACAUUGGUACUGAGACACGGACCAAACUCCUACGGGAGGCAGCAGUGAGGAAUAUUGGUCAAUGGGCGAGAGCCUGAACCAGCCAAGUAGCGUGAAGGAUGAAGGUCCUAUGGAUUGUAAACUUCUUUUAUAGUAGAAUAAAGUGAUCCACGUGUGGAUUUUUGUAUGUAUACUAUGAAUAAGGACCGGCUAACUCCGUGCCAGCCGCCGCAGUAA
rnacentral:rRNA from 1 species